rnacentral:rRNA from 1 species
GAUGAACGCUGGCGGCGUGCUUAACACAUGCAAGUCGAACGGAAAGGCUCCUGCCUGCAGGGGUACUCGAGUGGCGAACGGGUGAGUAACACGUGGGUAAUCUGCCCUGUACUUCGGGAUAAGCUUGGGAAACUGGGUCUAAUACCGGAUAUGACAAUCUCUUGGAUGGGGUUGUGGAAAGCUUUUGCGGUAUGGGAUGAGCUCGCGGCCUAUCAGCUUGUUGGUGGGGUAAUGGCCUACCAAGGCGUCGACGGGUAGCCGGCCUGAGAGGGUGUACGGCCACAUUGGGACUGAGAUACGGCCCAGACUCCUACGGGAGGCAGCAGUGGGGAAUAUUGCACAAUGGGCGCAAGCCUGAUGCAGCGACGCCGCGUGGGGGAUGACGGCCUUCGGGUUGUAAACUCCUUUCGCAACCGACGAAGCUUUUGUGAGGGUAGGUUGAGAAGAAGCACCGGCUAACUACGUG